AGGUCCCCCCGGGCGUCGAUGAAUGUGGGGUACCAUUCCUUGAUGAUGUGGUCAUGUUUGUAGUCGGCCUUAUUGUCCUUUAGAUGUUCCACGGUGUUCCGCUCGCUCUUCUCAUAGGCCUCCCGGGGCUUCCGGACAGACACCUUGCAUUCUCGGACCUUGUUGACGAUGAAUUCUUGGAUGAGAAACCUGAUAUCUUCCAUGAGGCAGUCAUCAUAAAGAAGUCUGAAUAUCUUGGUUGAGAGCUAGACUUUGGAAACAGAGAGACCCUGUAUAAUAACAGACUAAGAAGUAAGGAAGACAAGCCCAGCCAGUCCCACAACUAUUUCAUUAAUACCAGGUAAAGCAACAGACCUGCCAGUGAAGCAUCUUGGAUCCUUUAGCUUUAGGAAAUCUACUCCAGUCCUGUCCUGUGGAAACUAAUGGGAGUGCCAGGAGGCCUAACCAUCUGAGGUGAAUUGAAAAGAAAAAGCAGCGUGCUGAUUGCAGUGACUGGUGCAUGGAUCUCGAUGGCUACUCUGUACUGUAGGCAGUGAUGACACCCUGUUGAGGAGAUUGGUAGGAGCCAUAGCAACACAGGAGGCACAAUUUUAGGGAUGGUUUACAUUCCUAGCUGGAGUUUCCACAAAGCCCAGGUGUUCUUCAUAUUUUCUAAAUUUGAAUUCGUGACUGCUAAAUGUGUUUCAAAUAUCUUUUCAGAUUCAUAGGGUUUGGUGUUCACUUUGUUUUUAUGAGUCUUUUGAUGAAUAUAAGUACUUAAAUUUAAUACAUUUCAAUGUAUCAUUUUUUAUCCAUUAAGCCAUGUGAAAUUCGUUUUGCUUAAGGUAUGAAUGUUAUUUUAAUUUGAAAAAUCUAUAUAAUAAAGUAAUCCAUAAAUACUUAAAUAGUCUAUCCAGUUCCACUGAUUUGAACAAACACUUCUGUUAUAUCCAUAUUCCAUAAAUGUAUAGGUCUGUAGCUUUCUAUUCUGUUCUCCUUUUUUAUUUGCCUUUUUUGUACUAUUUCCACACUGUCCUAAAUAUUUAUAGCUUUAGAAGAAGUCGUUAUAUUUAAAACUAGAAUUCCUUUUUCCUUGUCUGUUUUCAGGAAUUUUUCUGUUUUUCUUGUCCCUUUACUUUUCCAAAUAAUUUAGAAUAAAGUUGUCAAGUAGAAAAAAUAUAUUGUUAUGAUUAUAAAUAGAAUCACAUUAAAUCUAUAUCUCAAUUUAGAGACAUUUGUCAUCUUUGUAAUAUCUUUUCCUAUGAAUAUGAUAUAACGUUUUAUAUCCUGUUUCAUUUCUUUCAAUAUAUAAUAUGGUAUAAUUUCAUUUAAAAAGCUUUUGUAGAACCUUAGAUUUAUUCAUAAUUUAUUUUUGAUACUAUUCUUAAAUUUCAGACAUCAUUUGAUUUUUGUAUAUUGACCUUGUGUAUGUCAAACUUGCCUAACUUUAUUAAUUUUAAUUACUUGCUUUUGUAAACUUUUUGUAAACUUGAGUUUUAUUUCAGUCUAGAAUCAUAACAUCUGGCAUCACUGAUAUUUUUGUUUUCAUUUCUAAUGAAUUUUAUUUCUUUGUAUUUUCUUAUGUUUAUGGCUAAACAACCAAUUUUGUGUUGAAUGUAAAGGCUGACAAGAAAUAUCCUUUUAUCAUUUGUGAUAUUAAAAUGCAUUAUUUUAAAAUAAUAAAACAUUUUUACA
ensembl:lncRNA novel transcript